AACUGCUUCUCUCUCUCUCUUUUACUCUUAUUCUUUCUCUCUCACUCUCUCUCUUUUCCCACCCUUAAGCCAAGUACAGGGAUAGUUGUCUCAUCAUUGGUGGCUUAAAAUGAUGUUUUUGAACAAGAAGACGCCCCAUGGGUACUUUUGGUGACUAGCACUAUCUCUGUUUUUUUCCUUUUAAAUUCCUGAGCUAUUGUUUAGCAGUACACCCUUUUAUCUCCAUUGCUACUGAAGCUGAAUGUUACUUGGGUGGAAAGCAUAACUGCUUUCUUUUCUAUGUCCUUAAACCCUUUGAUAAUGUUACUGUUUGAGAGUCCCUGAAGCCAGGAUACUAGAAGAGUCUGGCUUGUCUGAACAGCUGAACUACGAAAUAAUGGAGUAGGGCAGGCUUUACCAAGCCAAUUCACUCAAGUUGUCUCAUCUAUACCCCUUCAAACCCUGUGAGGCUGGGCUUUCCAGCCUCUAGGUGCUGUGCUGUCCUGAGGCCUGGGCCAUGGUGCCCAAGGAAAGCCCCUGAAGCUCACCAGGAGGAAGAAGCAUGCAGGGCACCCCUGGAGGCGGGACGCGCCCUGGGCCAUCCCCCGUGGACAGGCGGACACUCCUGGUCUUCAGCUUUAUCCUGGCAGCAGCUUUGGGCCAAAUGAAUUUCACAGGGGACCAGGUUCUUCGAGUCCUGGCCAAAGAUGAGAAGCAGCUUUCACUUCUCGGGGAUCUGGAGGGCCUGAAACCCCAGAAGGUGGACUUCUGGCGUGGCCCAGCCAGGCCCAGCCUCCCUGUGGAUAUGAGAGUUCCUUUCUCUGAACUGAAAGACAUCAAAGCUUAUCUGGAGUCUCAUGGACUUGCUUACAGCAUCAUGAUAAAGGACAUCCAGGUGCUGCUGGAUGAGGAAAGACAGGCCAUGGCGAAAUCCCGCCGGCUGGAGCGCAGCACCAACAGCUUCAGUUACUCAUCAUACCACACCCUGGAGGAGAUAUAUAGCUGGAUUGACAACUUUGUAAUGGAGCAUUCCGAUAUUGUCUCAAAAAUUCAGAUUGGCAACAGCUUUGAAAACCAGUCCAUUCUUGUCCUGAAGUUCAGCACUGGAGGUUCUCGGCACCCAGCCAUCUGGAUUGACACUGGAAUUCACUCCCGGGAGUGGAUCACCCAUGCCACCGGCAUCUGGACUGCCAAUAAGAUUGUCAGUGAUUAUGGCAAAGACCGUGUCCUGACAGACAUACUGAAUGCCAUGGACAUCUUCAUAGAGCUCGUCACAAACCCUGAUGGGUUUGCUUUUACCCACAGCAUGAACCGCUUAUGGCGGAAGAACAAGUCCAUCAGACCUGGAAUCUUCUGCAUCGGCGUGGAUCUCAACAGGAACUGGAAGUCGGGUUUUGGAGGAAAUGGUUCUAACAGCAACCCCUGCUCAGAAACUUAUCACGGGCCCUCCCCUCAGUCGGAGCCGGAGGUGGCUGCCAUAGUGAACUUCAUCACAGCCCAUGGCAACUUCAAGGCUCUGAUCUCCAUCCACAGCUACUCUCAGAUGCUUAUGUACCCUUACGGCCGAUUGCUGGAGCCCGUUUCAAAUCAGAGGGAGUUGUACGAUCUUGCCAAGGAUGCGGUGGAGGCCUUGUAUAAGGUCCAUGGGAUCGAGUACAUUUUUGGCAGCAUCAGCACCACCCUCUAUGUGGCCAGUGGGAUCACCGUCGACUGGGCCUAUGACAGUGGCAUCAAGUACGCCUUCAGCUUUGAGCUCCGGGACACUGGGCAGUAUGGCUUCCUGCUGCCGGCCACACAGAUCAUCCCCACGGCCCAGGAGACGUGGAUGGCGCUUCGGACCAUCAUGGAGCACACCCUGAAUCACCCCUACUAGCAGCACGACUGAGGGCAGGAGGCUCCAUCCUUCUCCCCAAGCCGGUGGCCCAUCUGCAGCAGAAUCCGUGGAGACUUGUUUAACAGGAAGGGAUUUGGUUCCAUCUCCAGACCGAAUUAGAAUAUCUGGGGGCAGACACCCCAAAUCUGCAUUUUUACCAACUGCCCAAGGAGUUCUGAGAUGGCUGCUCUACCUCCCUUGUGACGAAAUUCCAGGCAGGAAGAGCAAGGGGCAAACAAGUGAGCCAGCUGAGGUGGCGGGUCCAGAGACUUCGCCUUACACUAUAUUUGUUGAAACUGUGUCAUGCGGCCAUGCCUAGCUGUAAGGAAAACAAGAAGGCCCAGGCAGCCGGUCAGCACAGGCUGGGAGAGAAUGCAGCGAACAUGGGGCCUGUCGGAACUUCCCAGACGUGGUGGGAACCACACCAGCACAGAGUCAACAGCAGGCAGGGGAAGGCCUGCGGGGCCCCAGGGCCAGAGGCUAGGACGGGCAAGCCAGACCGGAUUUGGGAAACGUGUUAUCAUUUCCAAGGACUAUCCCAAGUACGUGGGGUAGGAGAACCUUGGAGGCCAAACAGGCUGCCUGGAUUUGUCCUUCCGGACGCCGCCCCCACCCCGCCGCCCAUUAUUUAUUGCUGUCACUUUGUUGACGUUCCAGAGCCAGGCCUGGCUGCUGCGGCUCCCAGACCCGGUCCCAGGCAUGUUGGGACACGGGCCGGCUGUGCUCUGUGGAAUGUUCCCAGGCAGCAGGUCCACUUCCUGGGCUGCAGCCCUGGGUUCUGCUGAUACCCCUUCUGUAGCAGACUUCUCCUGCCCUGUCCUCCAGCAUGGCCUGCCGGCGUGGGACAGGCCUGCCCCACAUCUCAAACUCGGGGGGCAAAAAAUGUCCUUCUGUGGAGGGGGCCCCUGAAGGAGAACUCCAGCCUGCUUGGUUGACUGAGGUUCUUCUUCCCUGAGCUUCUAGGAUGUCCUUAGAGUGGGAAUCCAUUCCCUCUGGUCGUCCCUUACCAGGCUCUUGCUCUGGGGCCUGCAGUUCACCUCUUGCUCUCUUCUAACCAGCUCUGCCAAGCUCUGCGGCUCUCCCUCCACCUUCCUGCCCUGUCAGCCCACCUCUCUCAAUUCCCCAAAGCAUGGCUAGACCAUGGGGUAACAGUUCCCACAACUUUACUUGGGAUAUGGAAGGAACAUACAAUAUAGAAAAUAAAACAUGGAAGCUGGA